rnacentral:rRNA from 1 species
AGUCGAGCGGUAGAGAGAAGCGUGCUUCUCUUGAGAGCGGCGGACGGGUGAGUAAUGCCUAGGAAUCUGCCUGGUAGUGGGGGAUAACGUUCGGAAACGGACGCUAAUACMGCAUACGUCCUACGGGAGAAAGCAGGGGACCUUCGGGCCUUGCGCUAUCAGAUGAGCCUAGGUCGGAUUAGCUAGUUGGUGAGGUAAUGGCUCACCAAGGCGACGAUCCGUAACUGGUCUGAGAGGAUGAUCAGUCACACUGGAACUGAGACACGGUCCAGACUCCUACGGGAGGCAGCAGUGGGGAAUAUUGGACAAUGGGCGAAAGCCUGAUCCAGCCAUGCCGCGUGUGUGAAGAAGGUCUUCGUAUUGUAAAGCACUUUAAGUUGGGAGGAAGGGCAGUAAAUUAAUACUUUGCUGUUUUGACGUUACCGACAGAAUAA